rnacentral:rRNA from 1 species
ACCUAUUCCAGAGGCUAGUUUUUAUUUUUUUUUUUUUUUCAAGCAGAAGACGGCAUACGAGAUCAGCCUCGGUCUCGUGGGCUCGGAGAUGUGUAUAAGAGACAGCUGUUGGUUAUGUGUGCCCAAGCAUUGAGGCAGUCAAAGUAGGCAAAUCCGCUUUGAUAAUGCUGGGAUGUGAUGGGGAGCGAAAUUUAGUAGCGAAGUAGCUGAUUUCACACUGUCAAGAAAAGUCUCUAUCGAGGUUAAAGGUACCCGUACCGCAAACCGACACAGGUGGGUGAGGAGAGUAUCCUAAGGCCAGCGAGAGAACUGUUGUUAAGGAACUCGGCAAAAUGACCCCGUAACUUAGGGAUAAGGGGUGCCACCAUCAGGUGGCCGCAGAGAAUAGGCCCAAGCGACUGUUUACCAAAAACAUAGGUUUCUGCUAAGUCGCAAGACGAUGUAUAGGAGCUGACGCCUGCCCGGUGCUGGAAGGUUAAGGGGAUCUGUUAGAGCAAUCGAAGCAGUGAACUUAAGCCCCAGUAAACGGCGGCCGUAACUAUAACGGUCCUAAGGUAGCGAAAUUCCUUGUCGGGUAAGUUCCGACCCGCACGAAAGGCGUAACGAUUUGGGCACUGUCUCAACAACAGACUCGGUGAAAUUGUAAUUCCGGUGAAGAUGCCGGAUACCUGCGACAGGACGGAAAGACCCCAUGGAGCUUUACUGUAGCUUGACAUUGGGUCUUGGUACUACAUGUACAGGAUAGGUGGGAGGCUUUGAAACCAGGACGCCAGUUUUGGCGGAGCCAUCCUUGGGAUACCACCCUUGUAGUACUGGGACUCUAACCAUAGGCCAUGAAUCUGGUCUUGGGACACUGUCAGGUGGGCAGUUUGACUGGGGCGGUCGCCUCCCAAAAGGUAACGGAGGCGCUCAAAGGUUCUCUCAGUACGGUCGGAAAUCGUACGUAGAGUGUAAAGGCAAAAGAGAGCUUGAUUGCAAGACAUACAGGUCGAGCAAGGAUGAAAAUCGGACUUAGUGAUCCGGUGGUUCUGCGUGGAAGGGCCAUCGCUCAACGGAUAAAAGCUACCCUGGGGAUAACAGGCUUAUCUCCCCCAAGAGUCCACAUCGACGGGGAGGUUUGGCACCUCGAUGUCGGCUCAUCACAUCCUGGGGCUGUAGUAGGUCCCAAGGGUUGGGCUGUUCGCCCAUUAAAGUGGUACGCGAGCUGGGUUCAGAACGUCGUGAGACAGUUCGGUCCCUAUCCGUCGCAGGCGUAGGAAAUUUGAGAAGACCUGUCCUUAGUACGAGAGGACCGGGAUGGACGUACCUCUGGUGUACCAGUUG